rnacentral:rRNA from 1 species
UAUGCUUAAAGAUGAGCUUGCGCCACAUUAGUUUGUUGGUGGGGUAAUGGCCUACCAAGACGAUGAUGUGUAGCUGGACUGAGAGGUCGAACAGCCACAUUGGGACUGAGACACGGCCCAAACUCCUACGGGAGGCAGCAGUAGGGAAUUUUCGGCAAUGGAGGAAACUCUGACCGAGCAACGCCGCGUGAACGAUGAAGUAUUUCGGUAUGUAAAGUUCUUUUAUUGAAGAAGAAAAAAUAGUGGAAAAACUAUCUUGACGUUAUUCAAUGAAUAAGCCCCGGCUAACUAUGUGCCAGCAGCCGCGGUAAGACAUAGGGGGCGAGCGUUAUCCGGAAUUAUUGGGCGUAAAGGGUGCGUAGGCGGUUAGGAAAGUCUAUAAUUUAAUUUCAGUGCUUAACGCUGUCUUGUUAUAGAAACUACCUUGACUAGAGUUAGAUAGAGGCAAGCGGAAUUCCAUGUGUAGCGGUAAAAUGUGUAAAUAUAUGGAGGAACACCAGAAGCGUAGGCGGCUUGCUGGGUCUUGACUGACGCUGAGGCACGAAAGCGUGGGUAGCAAACAGGAUUAGAUACCCUGGUAGUCCACGCCGUAAACGAUGAGUACUAAGUGUCGGGAUAAAACUCGGUACUGAAGUUAACACAUUAAGUACUCCGCCUGAGUAGUACGUACGCAAGUAUGAAACUUAAAGGAAUUGACGGGACUCCGCACAAGCGGUGGAUCAUGUUGUUUAAUUCGAAGAUACACGAAAAAUCUUACCAGGUCUUGACAUGCUCUGCAAAGCUAUAGAAAUAUAGUGGAGGUUAUCAGGGACACAGGUGGUGCAUGGUUGUCGUCAGUUCGUGUCGUGAGAUGUUAGGUUAAGUCCUAAAACGAGCGCAACCCUUGUCGUUAGUUACCAGCACGUAAUGGUGGGCACUUUAACGAGACUGCCAAUUAAACAUUGGAGGAAGGUGAGGAUUACGUCAAAUCAUCAUGCCCCUUAUGAUCUGGGCUACAAACGUGAUACAAUGGCUGUUACAAAGAGUAGCUGAAGCGCGAGUUUUUAGCCAAUCUCAAAAAAGCAGUCUCAGUUCGGAUUGAAGUCUGUAACUCGACUUCAUGAAGU